AGAGUUUGAUCCUGGCUCAGAUUGAACGCUGGCGGCAGGCCUAACACAUGCAAGUCGAGCGAAUGAGAAGAGCUUGCUCUUCGAUUCAGCGGCGGACGGGUGAGUAAUGCCUAGGAAUCUGCCUGGUAGUGGGGGACAACGUUUCGAAAGGAACGCUAAUACCGCAUACGUCCUACGGGAGAAAGCAGGGGACCUUCGGGCCUUGCGCUAAUAGAUGAGCCUAAGUCGGAUUAGCUAGUUGGUGGGGUAAAGGCCUACCAAGGCGACGAUCUGUAGCGGGUCUGAGAGGAUGAUCCGCCACACUGGGACUGAGACACGGCCCAGACUCCUACGGGAGGCAGCAGUGGGGAAUAUUGGACAAUGGGGGGAACCCUGAUCCAGCCAUGCCGCGUGUGUGAAGAAGGCCUUUUGGUUGUAAAGCACUUUAAGCGAGGAGGAGGCUACCGAGAUUAAUACUCUUGGAUAGUGGACGUUACUCGCAGAAUAAGCACCGGCUAACUCUGUGCCAGCAGCCGCGGUAAUACAGAGGGUGCAAGCGUUAAUCGGAUUUACUGGGCGUAAAGCGCGCGUAGGUGGCCAAUUAAGUCAAAUGUGAAAUCCCCGAGCUUAACUUGGGAAUUGCAUUCGAUACUGGUUGGCUAGAGUAUGGGAGAGGAUGGUAGAAUUCCAGGUGUAGCGGUGAAAUGCGUAGAGAUCUGGAGGAAUACCGAUGGCGAAGGCAGCCAUCUGGCCUAAUACUGACACUGAGGUGCGAAAGCAUGGGGAGCAAACAGGAUUAGAUACCCUGGUAGUCCAUGCCG
rnacentral:rRNA from 1 species